GAUGAAGAACGCAGCGAAAUGCGAUAAGUAAUGCGAAUUGCAGAAUCCGUGAAUCAUCGAAUCUUUGAACGCACAUUGCGCCCCUUGGUAUCCCGAGGGGCAUGCCUGUUCGAGCGUCAUUUCACCACUCAAGCCUGGCUUGGUGUUGGGCGACGUCCCCUUUGGGGACGCGCCUCGAAACGCUCGGCGGCGUGGCACCGGCUUUAAGCGUAGCAGAAUCUUUCGCUUUGGAAGUCGGGGCCCCGUCUGCCGGAAGACCUACUCGCAAGGUUGACCUCGGAUCAGGCAGGGAUACCCGCUGAACUUAAGCAUAUCAAUAAGCGGAGGA
rnacentral:misc_RNA from 1 species